rnacentral:rRNA from 1 species
GAUGAACGCUGGCGGCGUGCCUAAUACAUGCAAGUCGAACGCUCGAGAUCUAGCUUUCUAGCUCGAAGGAGUGGCGAACGGGUGUGUAAUACAUAAGCAACCUACCCACGAAGCCUGGGAUAAUCUCUGGAAACGGGGACUAAUACCGGAUAGGUAAUCUGAAGCCAACUGCUGGUUAUUAAAGGUUAAAAACACUGGUGGAUGUGCUUAGGUCGCAUUAGUUAGUUGGUGAGGUAACGGCACACCAAGAAGAUGAUGAGUAGCCGGCCGGAGAGGGUGAACGGACACAUUGGGACUGAGCCACCGCGCAGACUCAUACGGGCAGGAGCAGUACGGACUAGACGGCUAGGGGAGCAACCAUGACCGAGCAAAGCCGCAUGAGUGAACACUGCCUUCGGGUUGUAAAGCUCUGUUGUAAGAGAAGAAAUGUAGAUAGAGAAUACCUAAGUGACGGUAAAUGCCAAGAAAGCAACGGCUAACUACGUG